rnacentral:rRNA from 1 species
AGUGAACGCUGGCGGUAGGCCUAACACAUGCAAGUCGAACGGCAGCACAGAGGAGCUUGCUCCUUGGGUGGCAAGUGGCGGACGGGUGAGGAAUACAUCGGAAUCUACUCUGUCGUGGGGGAUAACGUAGGGAAACUUACGCUAAUACCGCAUACGACCUACGGGUGAAAGCAGGGGAUCUUCGGACCUUGCGCGAUUGAAUGAGCCGAUGUCGGAUUAGCUAGUUGGCGGGGUAAAGGCCCACCAAGGCGACGAUCCGUAGCUGGUCUGAGAGGAUGAUCAGCCACACUGGAACUGAGACACGGUCCAGACUCCUACGGGAGGCAGCAGUGGGGAAUAUUGGACAAUGGGCGCAAGCCUGAUCCAGCCAUACCGCGUGGGUGAAGAAGGCCUUCGGGUUGUAAAGCCCUUUUGUUGGGAAAGAAAUCCAGCCGGCUAAUACCUGGUUGGGAUGACGGUACCCAAAGAAUAAGCACCGGCUAACUUCGUGCCAGCAGCCGCGGUAAUACGAAGGGUGCAAGCGUUACUCGGAAUUACUGGGCGUAAAGCGUGCGUAGGUGGUUAUUUAAGUCCGUUGUGAAAGCCCUGGGCUCAACCUGGGAACUGCAGUGGAUACUGGAUGACUAGAAUGUGGUAGAGGGUAGCGGAAUUCCUGGUGUAGCAGUGAAAUGCGUAGAGAUCAGGAGGAACAUCCAUGGCGAAGGCAGCUACCUGGACCAACAUUGACACUGAGGCACGAAAGCGUGGGGAGCAAACAGG